rnacentral:rRNA from 1 species
AACGAACGCUGGCGGCAUGCCUAACACAUGCAAGUCGAACGAGACCUUCGGGUCUAGUGGCGCACGGGUGCGUAACGCGUGGGAACCUGCCCUUAGGUUCGGAAUAACUCCCCGAAGGGGGUGCUAAUACCGGAUAAUGUCUUCGGACCAAAGAUUUAUCGCCUUUGGAUGGGCCCGCGUUGGAUUAGCUAGUUGGUAGGGUAAAAGCCUACCAAGGCGACGAUCCAUAGCUGGUCUGAGAGGAUGCUCAGCCACACUGGGACUGAGACACGGCCCAGACUCCUACGGGAAGCAGCAGUGGGGAAUAUUGGACAAUGGGCGAAAGCCUGAUCCAGCAAUGCCGCGUGAGUGAUGAAGGCCUUAGGGUUGUAAAGCUCUUUUACCCGGGAUGAUAAUGACAGUACCGGGAGAAUAAGCGCCGGCUAACUCCGUG